rnacentral:rRNA from 1 species
ACUACCAUGGCAGUCACGGGUAACGGAGAAUUAGGGUUCGAUUCCGGAGAGGGAGCCUGAGAAACGGCUACCACAUCUACGGAAGGCAGCAGGCGCGCAAAUUGCCCAAUCCCGACACGGGGAGGCAGUGACAAGAAAUAACAACUCUAGGAUUUCUUAGAAGUGUAAUGAGGAUAAUUUACAAACCUUACCGAAUGCAAUUGGAGGGCAAGUCUGGUGCCAGCAGCCGCGGUAAUUCCAGCUCCAAUAGCGUAUAUUAAAGUUGUUGCAGUUAAAAAGCUCGUAGUUGAAGUUCUGAUCGUUCAGGUCCUCAGCCUUAGGCGGGGAUUCUGACGGUCAUCCGCUUGCAAACAUAUGUUCGAUCUUCACCGGUUGGCUAUGUGAGUAAGCAAUUUACCUUGAGAAAAACAGAGUGUUCCAGGCAGGUUUGUCCGGAAUGCAUUAGCAUGGAAUAAUAGAACAUGACUGAAGUCUAUUUAUUGGUUUAAGGCUUUAGUAAUGAUUAAUAGGAACAGUCGGGGGCAUUCGUACUCAGCAGUCAGAGGUGAAAUUCUAAGAUUUGCUGAAGACGAACUAAUGCGAAAGCAUUUGCCAAGGAUGUUUUCAUUAAUCAAGAACGAAAGUUAGGGGAUCAAAGACGAUCAGAUACCGUCCUAGUCUUAACUAUAAACGAUGCCGACUCGGAUUCAGAUGAAUCAAAAAGUUCAUUUGGGACCGUAGGAGAAAUCAAAGUCUUUGGGUUCUGGGGGGAGUAUGGUCGCAAGGCUGAAACUUAAAGGAAUUGACGGUUUUGCACCACCAUGGAGUGGAGUCUGCGGCUUAAUUUGACCCAACACUGGGAAACUCAUCAGGGCAAGAAGAUUUUAGGAUUGACAGAUUGAGAGUUCUUUCUUGAUUGGUCUAGUGGUGGUGCAUGGCCGUUCUUAGUUGGUGGAGUGAUUCGUCUGGUUAAUUCCGUUAACGAACGAGACCUUAACCUGCUAACUAGUGCUUCGAUCUCUAAUCGAAGGCACUUCUUAGAGGGACUAUGUGUGGUAAUCACAUGGAAGUUUGAGGCAAUAACAGGUCUGUGAUGCCCUUAGAUGUCCUGAGCUGCACGCGUACUACAAUGGCACUUUCAACAAGUCUUUCCUGAUCCGAAAGGAUUUGGGUAAUCUUUUUAGGGAGUGCCGUGCUUGGGAUAGAUCUUUGUAAUUGUGGAUCUUGAACUA